GAUACAAAGAAGAGGGCAUAUAAAUGCCGUGGCACGAUGCACGGUUCCUUCUUUUCCACUCGUGUUCCUUUAUAGCAUGUCCUCAUCGGGAGGUUGUUUUCUGAUUUCAAACAUUCGACAGUAUGAUACUAGACGUGCACGUGGGUUUGGGUGAAUGGCGCCUAAGCACGUGCUUGAAGAAAUAACGUGAUGAAAGCGGCAUAGGGAUGGUGCUUUCAUUGAUGGGGAGAACAUAGAAGAGUCUGCACUGCAGAAAUGUCGUAUUAAGAGAAUCUCCAGUCUAUGGAUUGAUUGUAUCGAUACAAUCAAAUGUGAUGAAUGUGGCAAAGAGAUGGUGCGUUCACUGAUGGUGAGAACAUGGAAGUUUCUACUGCAAAGAUGCUGAGGUGGCAAGAGAGCUUUCACUGAUGGUGAGAACAUGGAAGUUUCUACAGCAAAGAUGCUGAGGUGGCAAGAGAGUGUUCACUGAUGGUGAGAACAUGGAAGUUUCUACUGCAAAGGUGCUGAGGUGGCAAAAAAGAUGUGAGGUGUGAUUCGUUCAGCCUUGGUUGCCUAAAGUUCAACGAGCCCUCAUCAUCGUCUUUGUGGAUGGAUGUGCUGCUAUAAUAUUUUACAGAUUAAUGCAUCUCUGCAAACAUGAAUGCUGUUAGCACAUUGUGUACACAUGGCUUGUGCUGUUCCAAUAAGAUGUGUAAUUUACUGCUCUGUGGAUUUGUAGUGUUUCAGUUCACCCAUGAUUCUGUAAAGUUUUGUAAGGUAAUGAAUCUAGUAACUGAGUGCUGUGUGUGUGUGUGUGUGUGUUGCUACAUAAGUAAAUGUUAAAUGGUGUGUAAUGAAACCUGCAAAUAUAUCUUUAAACGAUUUUAAACUUA